UACGGGGGGGCAAGCGUUGUUCGGAAUUACUGGGCGUAAAGGGCUCGUAGGUGGCCAACUAAGUCAGACGUGAAAUCCCUCGGCUUAACCGGGGAACUGCGUCUGAUACUGGAUGGCUUGAGUUUGGGAGAGGGAUGCGGAAUUCCAGGUGUAGCGGUGAAAUGCGUAGAGUAUCUGGAGGAACACCGGUGGCGAAGGCGGCAUCCUGGACCAACACUGACACUGAGGAGCGAAAGCCAGGGGAGCAAACGGG
rnacentral:rRNA from 1 species